rfam:Ixodes scapularis strain Wikel colony gcontig_1108378260246, whole genome shotgun sequence.
GCCGGGAUGGUCUAAUCGUUUAAGGCGUCGCCCCGGACAAGCGAAGGUUGCGGGUUCAAUCCCUGCUCCUGGCC